GACGAACGCUGGCGGCGCGCCUAACACAUGCAAGUCGAGCGAUGAAAGUUGUUUUGAUCCUUCGGGUGACGAACUUCUGGAUUAGCGGCGAACGGGUGAGUAACGCGUGAGGAACCUGCCUCUUACAACGGGAUAGCCUCGGGAAACCGGGAUUAAUACCGUAUAAGACUCCGACAUCUCAUGAUGAUGAAGUCAAAGCGUUAGCGGUAAGAGAUGGCCUCGCGUCUGAUUAGCUGGUUGGCGGGGUAACGGCCCACCAAGGCGACGAUCAGUAACCGGCCUGAGAGGGUGAACGGUCACAUUGGAACUGAGACACGGUCCAAACUCCUACGGGAGGCAGCAGUGGGGAAUCUUGCACAAUGGGGGCAACCCUGAUGCAGCGACGCCGCGUGAGCGAUGAAGGUUUUCGAAUCGUAAAGCUCUGUCCUAUGGGAAGAUAAUGACGGUACCAUAGGAGGAAGCCCCGGCUAACUACGUGCCAGCAGCCGCGGUAAUACGUAGGGGGCGAGCGUUGUCCGGAAUUACUGGGCGUAAAGGGUUCGCAGGCGGCAUGGCAAGUCCGAUGUAAAAGGCGAAGGCUCAACCUUCGUAAGCAUCGGAAACUGUCAAGCUUGAGUGAAGGAGAGGCAAGUGGAAUUCCUAGUGUAGCGGUGGAAUGCGUAGAUAUUAGGAGGAAUACCGGUGGCGAAGGCGACUUGCUGGACUUCAACUGACGCUGAGGAACGAAAGCGUGGGUAGCAAACAGG
rnacentral:rRNA from 1 species